rnacentral:rRNA from 1 species
GACGAACGCUGGCGGCGUGCUUAACACAUGCAAGUCGAGCGGAAAGGCCACUUCGGUGGUACUCGAGCGGCGAACGGGCGAGUAACACGUGAGUAAUCUGCCCUUCACUCUGGGAUAGCCACCGGAAACGGUGAUUAAUACCGGAUACGACCACUCCACGCAUGUGGUGGUGGUGGAAACUUUUUGGGUGGGGGAUGUGCUCGCGGCCUAUCAGCUUGUUGGUGGGGUAAUGGCCUACCAAGGCUUCGACGGGUCGCCGGCCGGAGAGGGUGGCCGGCCACACUGGGACUGAGACACGGCCCAGACUCCUACGGGAGGCAGCAGUGGGGAAUAUUGGACAAUGGGCGGAAGCCUGAUCCAGCAACGCCGCGUGAGGGAUGACGGCCUUCGGGUUGUAAACCUCUUUCAGCACCGGCGAAGCGCAAGUGACGGUAGGUGCAGAAGAAGGACCGGCCAACUACGUGCCAGCCGCCGCAGUAA